CCUACGGGGGCAGCAGUGGGGAAUAUUGGACAAUGGGCGAAAGCCUGAUCCAGCCAUGCCGCGUGUGUGAAGAAGGCCUUCGGGUUGUAAAGCACUUUCAGUGGGGAAGAAAGCCUUGGGGCUAAUACCCUCGAGGAAGGACAUCACCCACAGAAGAAGCACCGGCUAACUCCGUGCCAGCAGCCGCGGUAAUACGGAGGGUGCGAGCGUUAAUCGGAAUUACUGGGCGUAAAGCGCGCGUAGGCGGUCUGAUAAGCCGGUUGUGAAAGCCCCGGGCUCAACCUGGGAACAGCAUCCGGAACUGUCAGGCUAGAGUGCAGGAGAGGAAGGUAGAAUUCCCGGUGUAGCGGUGAAAUGCGUAGAGAUCGGGAGGAAUACCAGUGGCGAAGGCGGCCUUCUGGACUGACACUGACGCUGAGGUGCGAAAGCGUGGGUAGCAAACAGGAUUAGAUACCCCAGUAGUC
rnacentral:rRNA from 1 species